ACGGAGGAUCCGAGCGUUAUCCGGAUUUAUUGGGUUUAAAGGGAGCGUAGGCGGGUGCUUAAGUCAGUUGUGAAAGUUUGCGGCUCAACCGUAAAAUUGCAGUUGAUACUGGGCGCCUUGAGUGCAGCAUAGGUAGGCGGAAUUCGUGGUGUAGCGGUGAAAUGCUUAGAUAUCACGAAGAACUCCUAUUGCGAAGGCAGCUUACUGGACUGUAACUGACGCUGAUGCUCGAAAGUGUGGGUAUCAAACAG
rnacentral:rRNA from 1 species